rnacentral:rRNA from 1 species
UACGUAGGCGGCAAGCGUUAUCCGGAAUUACUGGGCGUAAAGCGCACGCAGGCGGCUGCGUAAGUCUGACGUGAAAUCUCCGGGCUUAACUCGGAACGGUCAAGUGAUACUGUCGGACUAGAGUACAGAAGGGGCAACUGGAAUUCUCGGUGUAGCGGUGAAAUGCGUAGAUAUCGAGAGGAACACCUGCGGCGAAGGCGGGUUGCUGGGCUGAUACUGACGCUGAGGCGCGAAAGCCAGGGGAGCGAACGGG